UUCUGUUCUGUUUUGAAGGAGGUGGGUGGAAAUGACAGUUUGGAGAGGAAUCCAACGAGGGAAAACGGUUUCAGGGGAAGUAGCCUCUUUUCUCCAGUUCUAACAGUGCCAUCAAGUGGCUUGUGAGAACAGGUGCAGGGCAGAGCCUCCGGACAGCCCGCGCUGACCCCGUGGACAGAGGAGCAAUAGGGCUUUGCAAAGGGCACCAUGCCGAUUGCCAGGGGCCAGCCUCUCGCCUCUCAGCCGCAUAGCCCAACACCUUUCCCUAGAUCGGCCGGAAAGGAGGUGGGGGACAUAGCUACCCAAGUGUACCCUUAAUCACCCCAGUGGACACGGCGACCAAGUUCCCGCUUCAUUGAGCCUCCGCCCACACACACUUGCAUCACUGGGAGGCAUUAGCACAAAAGUCAUGGUCCCACGAGAGGCACAGAAGUACAUUUCCAACCAGAGAAGUGGUCAGUGACCAGAGCAAGCCUGUCUGAAGCCAUCAGACCCUUGUCUAUGUUCAAAGGAGAGCUGAGGGCUGAAGGGUGCUGGGCGAGGCCAGGCAAGGUGAGCGCACCUGGGGAAGCCUGGCCGACAUCCCUCAAGCUAAACUUCCGGCCAGGGACACAAGUCUUCUGGCAUUUCACUUAACUGUAGCUGCAUUCUUUUUUUUAACUCCGCCAAUCAAGAUCACUUCGCCUUGGAACUCCACAAGUGGUUUUCUUUCUAAAGAGAGACAUUUUACUGAAGCAGAAGACUGCCAGCAGUUGUGUAUUUGGCACCCGGAACCAAGCAGCAGACGGAGUGAGGCUCAGGGGAACGUUCCCCCAGGAGUCCAGGCGCCUGGUACGCGUCAAGCCCUAACACUAAGCUGCCGUGCACCUCUGAGGAGCCACACCACACAGCCUGUGGGAUCUUAGUUCCCUGACCAGGGAUCGAACCCACGCCCCCUGCACUGGCAGCACGGAGUCUCAGCCACUGGCCUGCCAGGGAAGUCCCCAUCAUAGCCACUUUUGAGGCACCUGCCCAGACCACGACUCUCAGGAUGGUCCACCCCUCCAGCAGAGCUGAGGCCCUAACACUGUACUUCAUGACUGCAGACCCAGAUGACGACUGACUGCACAGAGACGGACACCUGCUCCUGGCAUGACAGAGCCUCAGGAUUAUUUGGGGCACAGUACAGGGCAGAAUCUUGCUACUCAAAACCUGGGACUGGGAGCUUGGCCUCACCUGGGAACUUAUUAAAAGGAGACUCCCAAGCCCCACCCUGACUUAAUGAAUAAGAAUCUGCAUUUUAACAAGGGUCCAGAGACUGGUGCAUGCAUUUAAAGUUUGAGGAGCUCCGACUCAGAAAUGCUGGUCCACUAACUGACACCCAGCUUCGGUAGAGUCUUCACUGGUCCACAUGAAAAUGUCAGUGUGAAAUUUUUCCUUUCUUGGCAAGAGCCAUCUUCCACUCUGAUUUUAUUCCCUUCCUACUACUUUUUAGGCAUGAAGUGUGCUUUAGGAAGUGAGACUGACUGUGAUUGUGGAUGUAGUUCUCUCAUGUGUUCAGCGGUCAAAAAUAAAACUUGG